rnacentral:rRNA from 1 species
AGUGGGGACGGGUGAGUAACACGUGGGUAACCUCCCAUCAGAGGGGAUAACACUUGGAAACAGGUGCUAAACCGAUACUGAUGGAUGGAACAGCGGGGAAUAAGCUAGUUGGUGCGGGAACGGCUCACCAAGGCCACGAUGCAUAACCGACCUGAGAGGGUGAUCGGCCAAACUGUGACUGAGACACGGCCCAGACUCCUACGGGAGGCAGAAGUAGGGAAUCUUCGUCAAUGGACGAAAGUCUGACCGAGCAACGCCGCGUGAGUGAAGACGGCCUUCGGGUUGUAAAGCUCUGUUAAUCGGGACGCGGUACCGGAAUAGAAAGCCACGGCUAACUACGUGCCAGCAGCCGCGGUAAUUC